rnacentral:rRNA from 1 species
AACAAGGAUUCCCCUAGUAACUGCGAGUGAAGCGGGAAAAGCUCAAAUUUAAAAUCUGGUAGCCUUCGGUUGCCCGAGUUGUAGUCUGGAGAAGCGUCUUCCGCGCUGGACCGUGUACAAGUCUCUUGGAACAGAGCGUCAUAGAGGGUGAGAAUCCCGUCUUUGACACGGACUACCAGUGCUUUGUGAUGCGCUCUCAAAGAGUCGAGUUGUUUGGGAAUGCAGCUCAAARUGGGUGGUAAAUUCCAUCUAAAGCUAAAUAUUGGCGAGAGACCGAUAGCGAACAAGUACCGUGAGGGAAAGAUGAAAAGCACUUUGGAAAGAGAGUUAAACAGUACGUGAAAUUGCUGAAAGGGAAACGCUUGAAGUCAGUCGCGUCUUCUAGUACUCAGCCUUCCUUUUGGUUGGUGCAUUUACUAGUCGACGGGCCAGCAUCAGUUUUGGCUGCGGGAUAAAGGUCAGAGGAAUGUGGCACCUUCGGGUGUGUUAUAGCCUCUGGUCAUAUACCGUGGCUGGGACUGAGGAUCUCAGCAUGCCUUUAUGGCGGGGGUUCGCCCACCUUCAUGCUUAGGAUGCUGGCGUAAUGGCUUUAAACGACCCGUCUUGAAACACGGACCAAGGAGUCUAACAUGCCUGCGAGUGUUUGGGUGGAAAACCCCGAGCGCCGUAAUGAAAGUGAAAGUUGGGGAUCUCUGUCGUGGAGAGCACCGACGCCCGGACCAGACCUUCUGUGACGGAUCCGCGGUAGAGCAUGUAUGUUGGGACCCGAAAGAUGGUGAACUAUGCCUGAAUAKGGUGAAGCCAGAGGAAACUCUGGUGGAGGCUCGUAGCGAUUCUGACGUGCAAAUCGAUCGUCAAAUUUGGGUAUAGGGGCGAAAGACUAAUCGAACCAUCUAGUAGCUGGU